rnacentral:rRNA from 1 species
CUACGGUGGCAGCAGUGGGGAAUAUUGGACAAUGGGCGAAAGCCUGAUCCAGCCAUGCCGCGUGUGUGAAGAAGGCCUUCGGGUUGUAAAGCACUUUCAGUGGGGAAGAAAGCCUUGGGGCUAAUACCCUCGAGGAAGGACAUCACCCACAGAAGAAGCACCGGCUAACUCCGUGCCAGCAGCCGCGGUAAUACGGAGGGUGCGAGCGUUAAUCGGAAUUACUGGGCGUAAAGCGCGCGUAGGCGGUCUGAUAAGCCGGUUGUGAAAGCCCCGGGCUCAACCUGGGAACGGCAUCCGGAACUGUCAGGCUAGAGUGCAGGAGAGGAAGGUAGAAUUCCCGGUGUAGCGGUGAAAUGCGUAGAGAUCGGGAGGAAUACCAGUGGCGAAGGCGGCCUUCUGGACUGACACUGACGCUGAGGUGCGAAAGCGUGGGUAGCAAACAGGAUUAGAUACCCGGGUAGUC